rnacentral:lncRNA from 1 species
CAUGACAUCACACACACACACACGUGAUGUGGGCGGGCCAGCCCCCCCAAAUAUUGGGGGGCAACCCGGUGUCACUGGCACAUCUUGAAAGGGACUCAAUAUCUCCUUUCCCAAAUAAGGGAAUGCUUUAAAAGGUAAUGUGAACUUGUAACAUAGACUCUGUGGAUGGGGUUGAGAGGGCAGGAUGUGGAAGGUCUCUGUGCACCAAAGGGAUCCCCAACCUCUGCAUAACUGCUGGCACUCUCUUUCUGCCACCAGAUGUUUGCCUCUUUCACCUGCUGUAGUCAGGAUAUAGGGUUCAGCAGUGGGUUGUCCACUGUCCUCUGCAAAGGUUGCAGACAGUGGGCAGAUGGCUGUGUGGCUGCUGAAUGGACUGUGAGCUGAGGGGGAAUAGGGGGGUUUCAAUUGCAGAAGUACAGUGCUGGUAACUGGAUAUGUGAAUCUGCCUACAGUCAGCCAACUCUUGCAGAGGGGUUGGCUGAUGGUCCCUGUUAAAGGUAAAGGUAAAGGACCCCUGACAGUUAAGUCCAGUCGCGAAUGACUCUGGGGUUGCGGCGCUCAUCUCGCUUUACAGGCUGAGGGAGCCGACGUUUGUCCACAGACAGUUUUUCCGGGUCAUAUGGCCAGCAUGACUAAGCCACUUCUGGAGAAAGCAGAGCAGUGCACGGAAACGCCGUUUACCUUCCCGCCACAGCAGUACCUAUUUAUCUACUUGCACUUGACAUGCUUUCAAACUGCUAGGUUGGCAGGAGCUGGGACAGAGCAAUGGGAGCUCACCCCAUCGCGGGGAUUCGAACCGCCGACCUUCCAAUCGGCAAGCCCAAGGCUCAGUGGUUCACACCACAGCACCACCCGCGUCCCCAUGGUCUCUGUUACUGGACUCCAAACAGUGGAAGUGAAUCCUAUGCCAUCCACAGUUUCAGAAAGUUCUGCUUGCAGUUUGUGUCCAGGUCUCUACAUGAUUGUAGUUAACUCACUUCCAUGAGCAGAGAAUGUGGUCGUUGGGCUCUUUCUAUCAUCACAAAUUGCAGGAGCCAGGAUGCAGAAAACAGACAAAAUUCUUAAAACACAUCACACAUCUGUCAGUGGUAAAAUGUGAGAGAAUUGUCAUUGUCUGCAAACUUUCAGAGAAAGGACCAGUAAAUGAAAGUGUCCUCAUGACAGAAGCUGUUUCUGAGAUCCAGAGUGGAAUUAGCAGCUCUAAGGAGUAAACAAACGCACUCAUAUCGUUGUCAAGAGGCAGCUCUCCUCUCUCUUUGCUUCCAGGUCUAAAGUUUUGGAUGCACAUUGUGCUCUCAUGUGGAAACCUGGAAUGUGACAUUGUGUGGCAGGCCAAGCGAAGGAAGGUGAACACACAGGCGGAGGGCACCACUCAGGCACUCUGCAGGGUCGGCUGGAGUGGAGGAGGAGACUGCCGCAGGGCAGGUGGCAGCCAGCCAGCCUUCUGGAGCCAGGCCAAGCAAGCUGGAGGGGAAGUCUGCCAUGGGAGGACCUUCCCUUCAAAGCACAGGGGGCUCCGGGGGAGAGAGGAGGGGAAGGAAGGAAGGAGGGGUACUGCUAAGACUGUAGCCCAGAAAGCCAGGUCUGUGAAAGUCAGUAAGGGGUGUGGACCAGGGCUUGCCAGGGAAAUGGGAUGCACAGGCUCAGACUUGACUCUAAACUAAAGGUAAAGGUACCUCUGACCGUUAGGUCCAGUUGCGGAUGACUCUGGGGUUGCAGUGCUCAUCUCGCUCUAUAGGCUGAGGAGCCAGCGUUUGUCUGCAGACAGUUUCUGGGUCAUGUGGCCAGCAUGACUAAGCCGCUUCUGGUGAACCAGAGCAGUGCACAGAAACGCCAUUUACCUUCCCACCAGAGUGGUACCUAUUUAUCUACUUGCACUUGAUGUGCUUUUGAACUGCUAGGUCAUGGGUAGGCAAACUAAAGCCGGGGGCCGGAUCCGGCCCAAUCGCCUUCUAAAUCCAGCCCACGGAUGGUCCAGGAAUCAGCAUGUUUUUACAUGAGUAGAAUGUGUCCUUUUAUUUAAAAUGCAUCUCUGGGUUAUUUGUGGGGCCUGCCUGGUGUUUUUACAUGAGUAGAAUGUGUGCUUUUAUUUAAAAUGCAUUUCUGGGUUAUUUGUGGAGCAUAGGAAUUCAUUCAUUAUUAUUUUUUCAACAUAUAGUCCUGCCCCCCACAAGGUCUGAGGGACAGUGGACCAGCCCCCUGCUGAAAAAAUUUGUUGACCCCUGUGCUAGGUGGGCAGGAGCUGGGACCGAACAAUGGGAACUCACCCUGUCACGGGGAUUCGAAUUGCCAACCUUCCAAUCGGCAAGCCCUAGGCUCAGUGGUUUAGACCACAGAGCCACCCGCAUCCCAACUCUAAACUAGGCGAGAGUAAAACAAAGGACAUGAACAAAUGCCUUUGCACUUCUUGGGUUCAAGCACCACGGUGGUGCUUGCUCUCAGGUAAAUGCACUCUGACUGGCUUGUAGCAACUUUACAACCUGAUGCUUCCUAAUGUUUUCUGGGAUUAAGUCUUCCUGGUGAGUGUAGGUAAACGUGCAUGCAGGAUCAUGUGGGUUUAACCAUUGAAGUACCCCACCCAAACAGAGGAGACAUAUAUGCAUAUAAUUCCUUCAGGUAACACCAAGCAGAUGUUAUGGAUUUCAUUCAGUGUUGCUGCAAAUGCAUCUGAGGAGACCCUUACAAAGCUCAUUGCAAAAGAUGCAACCCAGCACAGACACAAACUUCUUGUUUCUCUUCUAAGCAGGACUCCUCCAGAAUGCAUGGCAAUCUCCAUGGUUCCUCUCUUCAUAACUGUUACACCCAAUCCUGGCCAUAAAUGCAUCACAAUGCCCUUGUGGCCUCAGUCCAUCCCCUUCUGCUUGCUCCUGCUCCAAGAACAGUGAUGAAGAGGUACCAGCACACUGGCAACCUCUCCCUUGGACCUCAUCUUGCCCACCCCACCAAUGUGGUUGCAACGGCUCUUGUGUUGGACCACAGAAGAAGAUGUUCUGGGAGAUGGGCUGGAAGUGGAUGGGUGGGAGGUGAAGGUACCUGUGAUCAAGCAGUUAAUUUGUUUCCCGGUUUUAUCUGCUCAUGACGAGGCAUUAAGGAAGGUUUCCUUAAUAUAUCUUAACUCCAUUGUUGGCAAGUUAAGCUCAAGAGGCUGUGUGUGAGAGCUGGGAAUUCCACUGAUGUAGUCAGGAUGUAAUGUGCCCUGUACUCCCAUCUUCUGCUCUAUCUUUACAGCAGAUAUUUAAGCCUAAAAAGGCUGACACAUUUCUAAAUAAUCCCCCAGGAAACAGUUUAGUGUGGGGCCAUUAUCUUGAUAGUUCAUAAUUAGGUUCAAUAAGAAAGCUUGUUUUGCCAACCCAGGUCAGAUCCCUGCUGUGUCCGCCUGUGCCUGUGCUCAGUGACCUUGUUCCAAGAGUGUAUUGUUAGAAAAUCCAUUAUUAUCAUCACACACACUUUGGAGAAGUGGCUGUUUUGCGAAUUGAUGGUGUGAUGUUGCCACUUUAGAUAAAAGAAUCCAUGAAUUAUUGACUUAAUGAGUUAAUGUUGCUUCAGUCUCCAAUGAGACCUUUAUAGGCUGGGUGCUAUUUAACGGGAGACAUCUGAGGCAAAUACAGAGAGAGAGGGAGAGAGAAAGAGUCCUCUGCAGGGCAUGGAGGACUUCCUUAGAGCAGGCUUCUAUCUUCUUGGACAAUUCUGGGAUUAAAAUGCUUGCAAGGCAACCAGAUGCCCAACUACAUUCAUUUUGUUUAAUGCACAAUCACAGCUUGCGUCUUACUCAUUUAUCAUGGAAUGCUGGGGCAGGAGGGUUUCUGCCCCGUAGGAAUGUCACUGAUAACAGAUAUAAUAUGAAAAUCAUUGAGACAAUGUAGGGCUAUCAACUCCUAUGGUUUGCUUGGUGAAAAACUGAGCACGUAAAAUACAAUUUGGGUGAACUACAAACUCCCAUCCAUCUAGACCAAUCUACCAAACAUAAAGCUCCCACGUAGAGAUCCUCUUGCAAAGGAGCAAAAUGAAGGUUCCAGCCAGCAGAGGUUCCUCACAGCAAUUCCAUAGUUCCAGAAAAAUGUGAAAUUCUGGCUCCGAAUAGGCCAUCACACAGAAGGCUCACAAGCCUUCCAUGUAAGAACAACUUGCCAGCUGAAGUCUGUCUUAUCCAGCAUCAUAUUCUCAAAGCCUCUGAGAAGACCACAAGCAUCUUCUCCAAAUGUGCCUCUGAGCACCUGUAUGCCCUUUAGCAAACCUUUGCCUCCCCUGUCAUCUAAAAGUCCAAUCACCUCCCUAGCCAGUCUCUUGUUACUAAGGCCUCUGAAGAGCUUCUUGUUGUUGGUCUUCAUGUUUCUAGCAAGGUGCUUUUCCAGUUACCUAUUUGCCAAAGUUUGUUUUCCUUUUUGUUUUCUUCAUCCACACAUUGUUUUAAAGGAAGGCAUCCUCUUGGCCCUGGUGGUACUUUUCUUGAUCUGUGGCAAACAUUUCAGCGGAGCUUCUAAUCAUGUGGUUUUGAACAGCUCACAAGCAGUAUGGAGUACUUUGACUCUCUUGACUUUUCCUUUCACUUUUAUUUUCUCUCCCCCCCCCCCAACCUUCCUUUCAACUUUCUGGUGCAGUCCAUGAUGUUCCCAGUGAGAACAAGGAAGGAGCAGCUUCAACAACUUCAGUUCCUGUGGGGCUCUUCUUGUUGCAUUUGCUUCAGUGACUGAGCUGAGCUCUCCUUAGGAAAACUGUACUGGAAGUGUGACAAAUGAAAGGAACCCUUUCUUGCAUCUUUGCUUCAUUCUUCUCUCUUUUUCCUUCCUAGAAAAACAUGAAUACUGCUGUUGAUACACUCUCUGUUGAGGCAUCCAGUGCCCUGUUCUCUGCAAUCAGUUGCAGUUAAUGAUGCCUGAGAACACGAACAAGACGCCCCUGUUUUUAUUAAGCUUUUAAUAGGUUUUAUUUGAUUGUUGUAUUUUUAUAUGACUGUGUAUUGAUGGUGAGGAUUUUAUGUCAACCGCUUAGAUAUUUCUUUUCAUAUUAAGCCAUUUAUAAUUUUUAUACAUCAGUAAUAAAGCCCAUCUUUGAGUCUACUCCUGCCGGUCCCACAAUCUUUCACUGUCUUCAGAAUUCCUUUAGACACACAUUUUAGCGUCCUGCUAAUGUCACAUUAGCAGAUUGCAAUCACAGUUGUUAAAAUGAAUACAAAUGAAUUAAUAAUGAUUAUCUAAUUAUUUGAAAGUGUCAUCCUACUUUAGGAGCCAUUUCACAAUGUUCCCAGGGGUUAAUGACGCCACUCACUUCCUGUUGUAAAUCAUGCAGCAAAAGUGAGGGGGAUGAAGAGGUGUGAGAAAGGAAGGCACUAAUCUUACGGGCUUCACACCCCCAUUGGAAACCAUGCCAGAGUGAUGGGCCCUCUGCUCUGUGCUUGCCGAAAGUCCUCACCACAAGGUCCCUUUGACCUCCCCCCCCCCUCAGUUUAUUGUUUUUACCUUGGCAUUUUAUUAGAGCAAUUUUAAAGUUCAAAGAAAAAAAUAAAAUGUCAAUCAAAACUAUAAAAAACAGCUCUUUUCGUUUGUUGCCAUUGUGGUGAGCGGUUGGUGGAGCUCGAGUAUGUCUUCCCACAAGACGUUCAAGAUCAAGCGGUUUCUCACUAAGAAGCAGAAGCAGAACAGGCUCAUCCUGCAAUGGAUCCGCAUGAAAACUGGCAAUAAAAUCAGCUACAACUCCAAAAGGAGACACUGGAGGAGGACCAAGCUCAGCCUGUAAAGAGAAGCAGCUCCAAUCUUACUGGCACAACCCUGUAUCUUGCAUCAAACUCUCGAGCAUCAGAAUGGUCUCUUCCUACCAGUCUCCCAGAUUAUCAGGGCUGGAAUUCUGUCUUGUGCUGUGCAAUCUCUCCCCUUUGUAGAAUGUAAUGAAUAAAAAACUGUAAUGAAUAAAAAACUGAAUGGAGGGGGCUAUAAAAAACAGCAAAAGGCAGCCAGUCUUCGGGGGGGAGGUAAAAAAACCAGCUAAUUAAUUAGCUAAUUAACUAUUAGCUUGGCUAAAACGUCUUUUGCCACCUGUUGAAAAGGGUAGCCUGGCAAGUUGUCACUGCCAGGGGGUCAUUGUAUCCUUUCACUGCCUCCCAAACAGUGGGGUCUGACCAAGGCAGAAUACAGCAGGACUAUUACUUCUAUCCUUCUGUUGAUGCAGCAUAACUCAAGAGAUUGUGUCCAUCCUUAGAAAUAGCUAACUGAUUGAUUAAUUGCUGUUUUCAGCCCUUUCUACCUGGUAGGGCUGAAGUAGGAAACCAAAACACAAGCAGCAUGGGAGAGGUUAUGGAACUGGGAUUUAAAGUUUACAGCAUGCUGUACUUUGAAAGAAAAUUAUAUGAAAAUGAUGUAUCGCUGGUAAUUAACCCCUAGUAAAUUAGCUAAAAUGUACAAAGCAAGGUCAAAUACUUGCUGUAAAUGUAAGGAAAAGGAGGGCACCUUCUACCACAUGUGGUGGAGCUGUAAAAUAGUAAAAGAAUUUUGGAGGGUGAUAUAUAAUGAACUGAAAAAAAUGUUUAAAAUAACCUUUUCUAAAAACAAACAAGCCAGAAGCUUUUCUUCUAGGAUACUGGUGGAUACUGGCAUGGUGGUGGAGCCCCUCCCACACAUCCCCAGCAGGUGGACCUGCCACAUUCUGCACCCAACUCAGUCCAAGGGCACCUGUCACCAAAAACCAUAGGGACAUUUAAGGAGAUCAGCAGGGAUUCAUAGAAAUAGAAUAUCCAUAUAGUUUGAAUUUAAAAUGGCUGUUUCCUGUGCCCCAUUAAACUAUGAACUGCAUUCAACUGAAAGACACAGGAUAAAUGAGAUGCAAAAUGGCCUUCUCAGCACCACUUGAAAAAGCAUCCUGGGUCUCUUACUGCUGCAGGCAAGACCACCUAUGGGAGGAUGGAGCUGUCCAUGGAAGCAGCUCGGUUUGCUGAUGGAGAUGAUGGAGAUGUCAAAAGGCAACCUGCAGCCAGAAUGACAGUGUGAUUAACUGAAAUGAGGCUGAAGUCACAAGCAGCUCAGGCCACUGGGAAAUUAAGGCACCAAUUCGAACCAUCAAGAUCAGCAAUGAUAUUGUGGCAUAUCCUAGCAACAGCAGCAACAUUAACCUUGCCAUCCUAGACAGCGAACUAAUUUCACAGCAGCAGCAGCAGCAUUUCAGCAUCUUUUAAUCUCAGAACUUUUUGAAUGAAUGCUGAUAUUCUCCAAAUGGACCAGCUUCUGUUCUUUUCUUUAGGAGCAAAUGGAGUGAAUAAUAGUGGUUUCCCCACAAACUGUUCCUGCAGGAAAAGAGCGGUUGUACUGGUCAAGGAAUCCACAUUCAGGAGAGAAGGUUCAUGGUGCAGGAGCCACACAAUUGCAGGGGUGAGACUUUGGGCAUCCUUCCCUCCCUGAAUGAGGUAUUAAUAAAUGACAGGAAGCAACUAUGUGGAUGGUCAUAGUUUGCAUCCCAGAUAAUCCAUCAGUGCUAAUGAGGUGUAUCCCCCAGCAAGGGGGUUGCUUCCUGUUGUGCAGCUGGAAGUAUUUCUGUGCUCUCCAGUAAGUGAUCUGAGGAUUUCUCCCUUUUCCAGUGUGAUCCAACCACCACACAAAACAAUGCAGCUCCAUUAAAGCAAAAUCAGCUUGGUGGAGAGGAAUGGCUACUUGGGGGCAAGGGUGAGAGGUACUAUGCCUCUACUCCAGUGGGUCAUUAAGAUGAAGCCCCCACCCCCAUGUCAACCUACUCAUUCACAAUUAAGUUUGUACCCUACACUGAACACACCAAAUCCUGGAGAAACAGUGUUGCAGCUGAACUAUUAAAGGCUGUGAUCAGCGUGUUGUGGGGGGCGGAGUGGCUGCAUCUGAUGCUGAACUAUAUUGCUGCUACAAAUUUCUGCUGCCGCCGGCCUGGUUCUGCCUGAAAGGCUCUUCCCAGUCCUGUGGGCAUUAGAUGGGCACCUGGUUGUCCCCAGAGACUUGGAGGUCUUGUUCUGACCCAUCGCAGCCCAUGAGGCAAGGUGGGCAUUGCAGUUGCAGGACCACGGACAGCUCCAUGAAACAAGGUGGGCAUUGCAGUUGCAGCACCACGGACAGCUCCAGGUGAGCCACAAAGGAGCUUGUCUAGGGGUGGGGUCUUUGUGUUGUUUUGUUUCAUAAAUCAGAAUCAUAGAAUUGUCGAGUUGGAAGGGACCACGAGAAGCAUAUAGUCCAACCCCCUGCAGUGCAGGAAUCUUUUGCCCAACAUGGGGCUUGAACCCAUGAUCCUGAGAUUAAGAGUCUCAUGCUCCACCAACUGAGUUUGAAGCUGAAUCACUAGAAGUUAGGAUUAUGCACAUAGCUGUCAACUUUCAGAUUUGAAAAUAAGGGAUCAGCAGCCUUGAAAAUAAGGGAUCAGCAGCCUCACCUGUCCCGGGGACAGUCUGCAGGAUAUCUAACAAUCCCGGAUAGCAGCGGGAAGCAGCAGGAAACGGCGCUGGAAUAAGGGAAUUUCCCACCAAAAAAGGGAAGGUUGACAGCUAUGAUUAUGCAUCCUGAUCCCUGUUUUGACCUGAGAAGCUUCAUGGUGCCUUGCUCUGAUUUUGGUCAAAUCUCUCCUCUCCCCUUAGACUAGUGGAGCUUUUGAAAAGAAGAAGUUGUGAAAUUAGUGUCAGCUUUUAACAGCAGAAUGUGUGUUCAUGAAAUUAUUUAUAAACCAUAUUUUGGGACAUAGCCCACUCAGCUGUUGUCCAAGUGAUGCAAUCGGACGAGGUUUAUUAAUACCAGAACACAAGAAAUGUUUCCAAGUACUUUGGUAAUAAUGGGGUUGGGGGGGGGGGGAGGCUUGAAUGUGCCUGCUGUGCAGAAGAGCAAAAGCUGUGAUUGAUCUCAAUGUAAACAGGGUGAUUUUUCUUUCUCCAACAUGACAUGGAGCCCAACCGUGUGUGAUGGAUUCUGUCGCUGCCCCUUCCCAACCAUCAUUCUCGCUUUUAAUCCACUCAGUGCUCUUGUUGGGCUUUUGCCUGCUCCCAUUUCAUUUCACCCCCUCUCCAAACAGGAUGCAGUAGUUGGUUUAUACAUGUUCAACAGCAGUAGAUAGUUUCCUUUAAGAAUUCAGGAAAAUAUGUGGUGCUCCAGGGGGCAGGAGGGGGCAGGGGAAUAAAAGCUACCUGCAAGAAAGUUUGAUUUGCCUUCAAAUGAAAGUGAUGAUCUGUUGUAAGCGCUUUCAAUCCCUAGAAUCUCAUAUGGUUUCACUCCUCCUCCUAAUAUGGCAGUCCUUUUUGCAGGAAGCAAUCCAGAUUUCCUGAACCUUGUCAGAGUAGAGUAGAAAGUGGCCUUUACUGGUCAUCUCUUGCACGGGGUUUCCUGAGCACCUCUCCUUGGGAAAUGCGUGCCCAAAGCUUUCUUAGAUAGAGUACUGUGAAGGUUAAUAUCUGAUAGAUUCCUGACUGCUCUGGGGGAGUUUUCAGUGGAUAGAGCAGGUAAUCUUGUUGAGGCUCUUGUCUCGCUGUGGAAUGGCAAAAUUCUUAGGGCCAUCAGCAUGAUCAUUCCUGAGGCUCCGCUCCAGUCCUACAGAGGCCUCGUUGCUCCUUAGUAUUCUGAGAAGCUGCAGUUGAUGAAACAGACUGGCUGGGGGGAUGGGGACUGGUGGAAAGCACCAUUAAAGAUAAAAUUAUCAAACCUAGGAAAGGAUCAGAGUUGCUGAAGAAGAAUCAAUAUGGCUUCUGCGAAGGUAUGCUCUGUCUGCCUAACCUUUUAGAGUUCUUUGAGAGUUCCAAUAAGCAUAUGGGUAGGGGUGAUCCAGUUGAUACUGUGUACUUAGUCUCUUGAAAAGCUUUUGACAAAGUAGCUCACCUACUUAGUAAGCUAAGCAGUCAUGGAAUAAGAGGGAAGGUCCUCCUAUGGAGCAGUUACUGGUUAAAGAGCAGAAAUAAAUAAACAAUCAAGGGAUGUAGAAAGUGAAGUCUGUCAAGGAUCAGAAUUGGGACCUGUGCUUUUUAAGUUCUUCAUAAAUAAUCUAGAAUUAGAAGGGAGCAAUGAGGCUGCCAGGGUUGCUGAUGAUUCCAAAUGGUUUAAGGUGGUUAAAUUACAAAAGGAACUCUCCAAACUGGAUAAAUGGUGGUAUAAUCACAAAUACAGUUCAGGACUUAUCUACACUUAACUUUCCUCUGCUCUUUCCAGGCACGGUCCACAAUUUGAAGCUCUGUGUCCAAGCACCCGAAUUGAUGUUUGCUCCGACUGAACACCAAAGAUCAGGUUUUUGUGGGGAAAGCUCCAGGGCAAAAAAAAAAAACCUGCUCAGACGAGGAGCUUCAAAGUGCAGACCUGUGCCUGGAAAGAGUGGGGCAAAAGCUAAAUGUGGAUAAGCGCUCAGUGUAAACAAGUUUAAUGUUAUGCAUGUUGGGGCAAAAAUUCUUAAUUCCACAUAUAGUCUCAUGAGGGCUGGUUAGGCACUGACUGCCCAGGAAUGAAACUGUGGGAUUGCAAUAGAAAUGUGAACCCAGUGUGCAGCAGCUACAAAAAAGAUAGAUAGAUUCCAUGCUGGGGAGAUUUGUGUGUGUGUGUGUGUGUGUGUGUGUGUGAUGACACUAGAACUGAAGUUCUAGUGAAGCUGACUUUUGAAAGAUUCAGGAAAGACAAAAGAAAGUAGAUAUGUACACAGUGCCUACCUUGACUAUUGAAUUUGCUACUGCAAUAUGUGACUUUCACCACCAACCUACAAUGAAAUCUUAACAUGUCUACUUACUUCUAGGUAUGUAGGUACAGUGGUACCUCAGUUUAAGAACAGCCCUGUUUACGAACUAUUCGGUUUACGAACUCUGCAAAACCGGAAAUAAUGUCUCAGUUUGCAAACUUUACCUCGGUCUAAGAACGAAAACCAAAUGGUGGAAGAGCACCAGCAGUGGGAGGCCUCAUUAGGGAAAUUGCGCCUCGGUUUAAGAACAGUUUCGGUUUAAGAACGGAUUUCCGGAAUGGAUUAAGUUCGUAAACCGAGGUACCACUAUAUAGGGUUGCGGCCUUAGAUGACUUUAAAGGGGGAUUAGAUAGAGUUAUGGCAAAUAAGGCCAUCAUUGGCUAGGAGUCACUAUGAUGUUGCUCUACCUCCAGGACCAGGACCAGCAACAACCCUCUGAAGACCAGAUGCUGGGGAGCAACAGCAGGAAAGGGCUGUCACCUGCAUGACCUACCUCUGGGCUUCCUAUAAUGGGCAGUCCAUGGUGAGGUAGUCCAUGGUGAGGAAUGGGGAUGCUGAAUUAGCUAGGCCCCCUUUGGUGAGAUCCAGCUGCUGGAAGAAGAGUUUGGAUUUGAUAUCCCGCUUUAUCACUACCCUAAGGAGUCUGUCUCAAAGCGGCUAACAAUCUCCUUUCUCUUCCUCCCCCACAACAAACACUCUGUGAGGUAAAUGGGGCUUAGAGACUUCAGAGAAAUGUGACUAGCCCAAGGUCACCCAGCAGCUGCAUGUGGAGGAGCGGGGAAUCAAACACGGUUCACUAGAUUAUGAGUCCGCUGCUCUUAACCACUACACCACACUGGACUCUUCUUCUAGCCCAAUCCAGGAGUACAGCAGAGAACAACAUCCAGAUUUGGAGUUGGAGGGCUGCUGUUGCAAACACAAGGAUAGCCAGGCCACAUUUCAGGCUACAAGACCCCUUUGCCCUCCCACAUUUCAUCACAGAAGGCAAAAAAACAAGGCAAAGCCUUCUCCAUUGUGAUUAUCUGCUCUCUGUCCCACUGAUUUAUUUGGUGUCAACCAGCAGAGAGCUUUUUAUAUAAUGAAACACUGCCUGCAUGCCAUCUGUCAUCCAUCACCCAAAGUGGCACGCCAUUUAAAAGGUUUUUGUUGGGGGGGUGGAUGGACAGACAGACAGAGGAGUGGGUGCACCUCCUACUAAUCGCCUGAUUUCAGGAACUGGGCUGGGCAGAGACCCUGAAAUGCACACAUGGAAUGUGGUAGCUGCAACUGUGAGCCAGUGUGGUAGUGGUGCUCAGUCUUACUAUCCCAUGGCAGGAUUAUUCUGCUCACAGCGGUUGCAGCCUGAUAAUUAUUAUUGAUUCACUCUCAGGCUGUCAAUCUGGGAACAGCUCUAAAGUAGUCCAUGAUGGACAGAGAGAGAAUUGGACAGCCACCAUCCAACGAAGAAACUUCAUCUUGAAAAUGAACUUAGAUGAGAUGGUGCAGGUGGAUAAGGGUAAUUGAUUAUUGUUUUAGAGUGGAAGAAGGAGAUAUUUUUAAAGAAAUAUCUCUUUGGUAUCCACCCUAAGAAAUCUGCACUACUCAUAAGACUGUGCGCAAAUGUCAUACGCUUUUAGAAUUUUGUGUAAAUGGUUUACUAAGGCUUAAUUUUAUCACAGAAAUGCAGUUAAGAUUCCCUGGUUUGCAGAACACACAAGGCAGUUUCCUCAUGGGAGUGAUACAAGCUGUUCCAAGCUACAUGACUUAGUGCCACAAAGAGACUAGCUAGUACCCUGCACUGUUAGGGACAGUGAGGGGUCAAAGUUGCUAAUGCAAGAGAACUUCCUUGUCAUGCCCAUGUUAUAAGACAGUGGUUCCCAACCCACCCAUGGCACCAUUCACAUAAUGAAAACUACCAUAGAGAUGUCAAAAAUUUCAAAAGUAGGGGUCCAUGGGUUGACUUCUUUUAGGGGGAAGAGGGGGUCCACAGUACUUAUCUAACUGGGAACCACUGUUAUAAGGGAUUCUCUGCAAAGUGUUUUAAACCUGAUGUUUUGCUGCGUUGCCUAACAUUCUCUGCUCCAGCUGCACAAGCCAGAUCCCCAGUGCAAGGUGUUUGCCAUGGGAAGAUGCCUUCCAAAAGAGACACAAAGGUAGACACAGGCAAAUGCGCAUUAUUUCUAAAAGGCAGGGCACAAAUAUGUCCAUGAAUGAAUGACUGGCUGAAUAUGAAGCCCUGUGAGUGAGCAGGCUAACCUCCUUUGCAGGGCUGUUAUUAUGAGGAUAAAAUGGGGCAGCCUCUAGCUCUGCUAGAGGACAGCAGAGUGCCUUUUGCCUUGGUGAACCUCUCCAUUUGCUAACAUCUACAAGGGGAGUUGGGACGCGGGUGGCGCUGUGGGUUAAACCACAGAGCCUAGGACUUGCUGAUCAGAAGGUCUGCGGUUUGAAUCCCUGCGACGGGGUGAGCUCCCGUCGCUCUGUCCCUGCUCCUGCCAACCUAGCAGUUCGAAAGGAUGCCAAAGUGCAAGUAGAUAAAGAGGUACCGCUCCGGCGGGAAGAUAAACGGCAUUUCUGUGUGCUGCUCUGGUUUGCCAGAAGUGGCUUAGUCAUGCUGGCCACAUGACCCAGAAGCUGCACGCCAGCUCCCUCAGCCAAUAAAGCAAGAUGAGCGCCGCAACCCCAAAGUCGGUCAUGACUGGACCUAAUGGUCAGGGGUCCCUUUACCUUUACUUUACAAGGGGAGUUUAGUGAGCUGUAAAGGGGGACUUGGCUAUGCAAUCCCAUCUGUGUGGCUCUGCAUACAGCAUUUAAAAACAAGAUGUGAUGGCGCUUGUCGUUCAUUUCUCUCUAAGUGGAAUGCCACAUUCAGGUUUCUUUCUCAAGAUUGCAAAAAAGCCUUCCUAAGGUUCCAUCAUCAAGAAUGAAAACCCCUUUUCCUUGGGCUCUUGACUCCUUGUAAUCAUAAAAUGCCUCUUGGAAUCUUCAAUGGGGUGACAAUUCACUGAAGAUUAAUUCUUGUGCAGGAGUCGCUGGGGCUCAAGCCAACUCUUUGAUUAGCUGUAAAUGAGGUGUGUUGGUCGAAAUGAGUCUCCUCCUAUUAUCUCGGAGCCCGUUCCCAGGGCCAGCGCUCCUGCCCCUCCAGAUGCAGCUGUUGCUGUAUUUGCUUCCCAAUUACAUUGUGGGUGAACUCAAGAGAACACAAACCAGCGGAGGAGAAAUCUGCUCAGUCUCACCACAAUUAGGGCUUAUGCUCUGGUUCAGGAAAAGUCAGGCAGACAGGUCACUCGUAUUUGAUUUUUGAGCAUGUUAUUUAGAAUUUGGCCACAGACACAAAUCAUUGCACACAAAUCUGUUCAUUUGUUUUUUAAGGGAAAGAUAUUCCAGCAGUGGUAGUAUUGAUUUCCCACUAUUAUGUCUUAAAAACUGAUGCACACACACACAGUGUACACACACAGAGAGCCUGCAGCACAGAGAUCAUUUUCUGCUUGGUCUUUUGCCAGCCACAGGCAUUCCUGCCCCUUGCAAUUAUAUUGGAGCGCAGAGGCUGACGGCUCCCUCAAUCCACCACAUGAUACUUUCUCCUCCU